UACAGAGGGUGCAAGCGUUGCUCGGAAUCAUUGGGCGUAAAGGGUAGGUAGGUGGUCUCGUUUGUCUGGGGUGAAAGCCCAGGGCUUAACCCUGGAAGUGCCCCAGAAACGGCGAGACUAGAGUCUUGGAGAGGGUCGUGGAAUUCCCGGUGUAGCGGUGAAAUGCGUAGAGAUCGGGAGGAACACCAGUGGCGAAGGCGGAUCUCUGGGCCAUUACUGACGCUGAGGAGCGAAAGCGUGGGGAGCGGACAGG
rnacentral:rRNA from 1 species